AACAAAGGGCUAUGUUUACACUUAGUACCCGCUUCUGCAAUGGGUUUAUAAUGUCAGCAUAGUCCGACAAAUCUUAGUUGGGAC
rnacentral:pre_miRNA from 1 species